rnacentral:rRNA from 1 species
UACGGAGGGGGCGAGCGUUAUUCGGAAUUAUUGGGCGUAAAGGGCGCGUAGGCGGCUGUACAAGUCAAAGGUGAAAUCCCUCGGCUCAACUGAGGAACUGCCUUUGAAACUGUACGGCUUGAGGCCGGGAGGGGGUAGCGGAAUUCCCAGUGUAGCGGUGAAAUGCGUAGAUAUUGGGAGGAACACCAGUGGCGAAGGCGGCUACCUGGGCCGGUUCUGACGCUGAUGCGCGAAAGCGUGGGGAGCGAACAGG